UACGUAGGGUGCGAGCGUUGUCCGGAAUUAUUGGGCGUAAAGAGCUUGUAGGCGGUUUGUCGCGUCUGCUGUGAAAAUCCGGGGCUCAACCCCGGACUUGCAGUGGGUACGGGCAGACUAGAGUGUGGUAGGGGAGACUGGAAUUCCUGGUGUAGCGGUGAAAUGCGCAGAUAUCAGGAGGAACACCGGUGGCGAAGGCGGGUCUCUGGGCAACAACUGACGCUGGAGGAGCGAAAGCGUUGGGGAGCGAACAGG
rnacentral:rRNA from 1 species